rnacentral:tRNA from 1 species
GCCAUGACUCAGUUGUAGAGUUUCUGUUUUGUAUACAGAAGGGCCCAGUUUCAGUUUCUGGCAUCUGCA